rnacentral:misc_RNA from 1 species
UAACCACUCAAGCCCUCGCUUGGUAUUGGGGCUCGCGGUCUCGCGGCCUCUAAACUCAGUGGCGGUGCCUGUCGGCUCUACGCGUAGUAAUACUCCUCGCGUCUGGGUCCGGCAGGUUGCCUGCCAGCAACCCCCAAAUUUUUACA